GUUUUGUCACUGCUGUGGUUGCCAUGUUCUGGUUUUAAUUCUAUCUUAGUUCUUGCUUUGUCUUGAAUCCCUAGAGCUGAAAUUGCUUUUGAUUCCUAUCCAAUUUGAAUCCUCUAUUUUACUGCAACCAUGGUCAGUGCUGCGAAGGCUAAUGUUGUUGCUGUUCCGGUUGCGUGAGAGUUACCGCUGCUGCCCUGAAACUAAAAGAGAAGAGAGUUGUUACGUUAAAGUAUGCGAUUGCGACAUCGAGUGACACAGGUUUGAAGACGCAAUUUGAAGCUGCGAGCGAUUAGUAGGUUUUCUUUAUGGUUUUAAUUGCUUUCAUAGAGUCCCCACGCUAUUAUCCCUUGAGAUUUUAUUUUAACAGAGGGAUAGGUGUUGUAUUUGGGUUUAUAUGACUUCUUAUGUAUAAGAAUUACUAUUAAUAAUACUUAUGUGAUUGUUAUUAUUAUUUGCAAUGUUUAUCCUUGA